rnacentral:rRNA from 1 species
GUGCCGCCGCCGCGGUAAUACCCGCAGCCCAAGUGGUGGUCGAUUUUAUUGAGUCUAAAACGUUCGUAGCCGGUUUGAUAAAUCCUUGGGUAAAUCGAGAGGCUUAACUUUUCGAAUUCCGAGGAGACUGUCAAACUCGGGACCGGGAGAGGCGAGAGGUACUUCUGGGGUAGGGGUAAAAUCCUGUAAUCCUAGAAGGACCACCGGUGGCGAAGGCGUCUCGCUAGAACGGAUCCGACGGUGAGGGACGAAGCCCUGGGUCGCAAACGGGAUUAGAUACCCCGGUAGUCCAGGGUGUAAACGCUGCAGACUUGGUGUUGGGGACCCUACGUGGGUGUUCAGUGCCGGAGAGAAGUUGUUAAGUCUGCUACUUGGGGAGUACGUCCGCAAGGAUGAAACUUAAAGGAAUUGGCGGGGGAGCACCGCAACGGGAGGAGCGUGCGGUUUAAUUGGAUUCAACACCGGAAAACUCACCAGCGGCGACUGUUACAUGAAAGUCAGGCCGAUGACCUUACUAGAUUUUCAGAGAGGUGGUGCAUGGCCGUCGUCAGUUCGUACCGUAAGGCGUUCUCUUAAGUGAGAUAACGAACGAGACCCUCAUCUAUAGUUGCUAUCCGGUCCUCCGGGGCCGGAGCACACUAUCGAGACCGCUGGCGCUAAGUCAGAGGAAGGAGAGGUCAACGGUAGGUCAGUAUGCCCCGAAUCUGCUGGGCUACACGCGCGCUACAAAGGGCGGGACAAUGGGCUCCGACGCCGAAAGGCGAAGGUAAUCUCGAAACCCGUCCGUAGUUCGGAUUGAGGGUUGUAACUCACCCUCAUGAAGCUGGAUUCCGUAGUAAUCGCGAAUCAACAACUCGCGGUGAAUAUGCCCCUGCUCCUUGCACACACCGCCCGU